AACGAACGCUGGCGGCAUGCCUAACACAUGCCAGUCGAACGAGACCUUCGGGUCUAGUGGCGCACGGGUGCGUAACGCGUGGGAACCUGCCCUUAGGUUCGGAAUAACUCCCCGAAAGGGGUGCUAAUACCGGAUAAUGUCUUCGGACCAAAGAUUUAUCGCCUUUGGAUGGGCCCGCGUUGGAUUAGCUAGUUGGUAGGGUAAAAGCCUACCAAGGCGACGAUCCAUAGCUGGUCUGAGAGGAUGAUCAGCCACACUGGGACUGAGACACGGCCCAGACUCCUACGGGAGGCAGCAGUGGGGAAUAUUGGACAAUGGGCGAAAGCCUGAUCCAGCAAUGCCGCGUGAGUGAUGAAGGCCCUAGGGUUGUAAAGCUCUUUUACCCGGGAUGAUAAUGACAGUACCGGGAGAAUAAGCUCCGGCUAACUCCGUG
rnacentral:rRNA from 1 species